ACGCUCGACACCUACGGGUGGCAGCAGUCGGGAAUAUUGCGCAAUGGAGGAAACUCUGACGCAGUGACGCCGCGUAUAGGAAGAAGGUUUUCGGAUUGUAAACUAUUGUCGUUAGGGAAGAAAAAAGACAGUACCUAAGGAGGAAGCUCCGGCUAACUACGUACCAGCAGCCGCGGUAAUCUGAGCGGGCUGGCAAGGC
rnacentral:rRNA from 1 species